UACGUAGGUGACAAGCGUUGUCCGGAUUUACUGGGCGUAAAGAGCGCGCAGGCGGUCGAUCAAGUCGAGUGUGAAAGCCCCCGGCUCAACUGGGGAGGGUCAUUCGAUACUGAUCGACUCGAAGGCAGGAGAGGGUAGUGGAAUUCCCGGUGUAGUGGUGAAAUGCGUAGAUAUCGGGAGGAACACCAGUGGCGAAGGCGACUACCUGGACCGGUACUGACGCUGAUGCGCGAAAGCUAGGGUAGCAAACAGG
rnacentral:rRNA from 1 species